rnacentral:rRNA from 1 species
UACGUAGGGUGCGAGCGUUACUCGGAAUUACUGGGCGUAAAGCGUGCGUAGGCGGUUCGUUAAGUUCGUUGUGAAAGCCCCGGGCUCAACCUGGGAAUGGCAAUGGAAACUGGCGGGCUGGAGUAUGGCAGAGGGGGGUGGAAUUCCGCGUGUAGCAGUGAAAUGCGUAGAGAUGCGGAGGAACACCGAUGGCGAAGGCAGCCCCCUGGGCCAAUACUGACGCUCAGGCACGAAAGCGUGGGGAGCAAACAGG